UUGUCCCGGGCAAGUCUCCUACGACCAGCUCCCAUUGACUCCCCCAGGUUGGGAACAAAGCAAGGGUAUUUGGUUGAGCGGUGCGAUAGGAGUAGCUUGCCCAUUU
rfam:Sphingobacterium sp. JB170 genome assembly, contig: Scaffold1